rnacentral:rRNA from 1 species
UAUUGGACAAUGGGCGCAAGCCUGAUCCAGCAACGCCGCGUGGAGGAUGAAGGUCUUCGGAUCGUAAACUCCUGUCAGACGGGACGAAGGGUUGUCGGCAAAUAGUCGACGAUCUUGACGGUACCGUCAGAGGAAGCCCCGGCUAACUCCGUGCCAGCAGCCGCGGUAAUACGGAGGGGGCAAGCGUUAUUCGGAAUUAUUGGGCGUAAAGGGCGCGUAGGCGGCUUGGUAAGUCAAAGGUGAAAUCCCUCGGCUCAACUGAGGAAUUGCCUUUGAAACUGCCUGGCUUGAGGCCGGGAGGGGGUAGCGGAAUUCCCAGUGUAGCGGUGAAAUGCGUAGAUACUGGGAGGAACACCGGUGGCGAAGGCGGCUACCUGGACCGGUUCUGACGCUGAUGCGCGAAAGCGUGGGGAGCAAACAGG